rnacentral:tRNA from 1 species
GCGCCACUAGCUCAAUUGGUAGAGCACCGGCCUUCCAAGUCGGAUGUCAAGGGUUCAAUUCCCUUGUGGCGCU